AGGGAUAUGGCAAAAUGGUCGACGCUGCGAACUCAGAAUCUGCUGGUCCUCGCGAGACUGUGAGGGUUCGAGUCCCUUUAUACCCA
rnacentral:tRNA from 1 species